rnacentral:rRNA from 1 species
AGUGAACGCUGGCGGUAGGCCUAACACAUGCAAGUCGAACGGCAGCACAGUAAGAGCUUGCUCUUACGGGUGGCGAGUGGUGGACGGGUGAGGAAUACAUCGGAAUCUACUUUUUCGUGGGGGAUAACGUAGGGAAACUUACGCUAAUACCGCAUACGACCUACGGGUGAAAGCAGGGGAUCUUCGGACCUUGCGCGAUUGAAUGAGCCGAUGUCGGAUUAGCUAGUUGGCGGGGUAAAGGCCCACCAAGGCGACGAUCCGUAGCUGGUCUGAGAGGAUGAUCAGCCACACUGGAAAUGAGACACGGUCCAGACUCCUACGGGAGGCAGCAGUGGGGAAUAUUGGACAAUGGGCGCAAGCCUGAUCCAGCCAUACCGCGUGGGUGAAGAAGGCCUUCGGGUUGUAAAGCCCUUUUGUUGGGAAAGAAAAGCAGCAGGUUAAUACCCCGCUGUUCUGACGGUACCCAAAGAAUAAGCACCGGCUAACUUCGUG